UACGUAGGGGGCAAGCGUUGUCCGGAUUUAUUGGGCGUAAAGCGCGUGUAGGCGGCUAGAUAGGUCCGCUGUGAAAACUUGAGGCUCAACCUCAAGAGGUCGGUGGAAACCGUCUGGCUAGAGUCCGGAAGAGGAGAGUGGAAUUCCCGGUGUAGCGGUGAAAUGCGCAGAUAUCGGGAAGAACACCCGUGGCGAAGGCGGCUCUCUGGGACGGUACUGACGCUGAGACGCGAAAGCGUGGGGAGCGAACGAGGA
rnacentral:rRNA from 1 species